CUGGUAAUCAUCACGCGAUGGGGACCGUUGACUGUUUACACAGUCACGUCAUGGGGACCGGUUGCGCUUUGGGGACCAAAAUCCCGGUCCCCAUGAGGAUAACCCUUUUAAAUGACUACUAGAGCUACUCUGAAGGUGCCCGUGAAGUUUUAAGCAUUGGCCCAUACGACAUGUUUUUUGGUGAGUGUGAGUGUGUGAGCAUUGCUCAUUGGUGGCCCUACUGUUUCUAGUUAGUACUGCACCCACUGCUUCACACACACACAUCUUCCAAAUAUGGUUGGGUGCCACCCACUUCCUUGUCCCCAUUAGGAAUGAUUCAAGCAGCGAGGACAUUUUCAGCAUCAAGAGGUAGCUAUCAACAGUAAAAGAAGAUUAUUUGCUGGAGAAACUAGCUAAGAAGAUAAGAACAUGUGCAGAGGAGCAAAAGUAAAGCAUAAGUAUUGAUGCCUUCAGAGAAGAUGGCUCAAUUGGGUGACAAGUUAAUGAUGAACACAGACGUCCUUACUCCAAAAUGAAAAAAAUUGGUGUUAAUGGAGAACCCCACCUUUGUUUAUUUGCCCUGGAUGACAUCAAAGAAGGAGAAGAAAUCGCCUAUAACUAUAGAGGUGAAGACUGCCCAUGGCAAACACAGACGACCAGCAUCACUGUUAACACCAUGGAGGAGGAUGAUUCAGAUCCUGUCCACUCAGAGAGUCUGAUGGCUUGUGCCUUUGGGCCAAAGACACCACCUGAAGAGGUACAACUGCCCAAAAGAAGAAAACACCCUGGAAGGAGACAGACGUGAAGGCAGUGGAAAGGCACAUGAAUCGAUUCAUCACAUCUUGUAUUGCUCCAGCAAAGUUUGACUGUGAGAAGUGUUUAAGGGCUGAUCCAGAAGCUCUUAAGGACCGGAGCUGGCAGAAUGUGAAAUUCUACAUAUAUAACCGCAUUACAGCCAACAAGAGGAAAUUAAGUAAAUAAUGGGAAGAUUACCACCAGUAAGCGGUUGCUAUGUGGUUGUCUGAAAUUAAAAAUAUCUUACAAAUUUGA